CCUACGGGGGGCUGCAGUCGAGAAUCAUUCACAAUGGGGGAAACCCUGAUGGUGCGACGCCGCGUGGGGGAAUGAAGGUCUUCGGAUUGUAAACCCCUGUCAUGUGGGAGCAAAUUAAAAAGAUAGUACCACAAGAGGAAGAGACGGCUAACUCUGUGCCAGCAGCCGCGGUAAUACAGAGGUCUCAAGCGUUGUUCGGAAUCACUGGGCGUAAAGCGUGCGUAGGCUGUUUCGUAAGUCGUGUGUGAAAGGCGCGGGCUCAACCCGCGGACGGCACAUGAUACUGCGAGACUAGAGUAAUGGAGGGGGAACCGGAAUUCUCGGUGUAGCAGUGAAAUGCGUAGAUAUCGAGAGGAACACUCGUGGCGAAGGCGGGUUCCUGGACAUUAACUGACGCUGAGGCACGAAGGCCAGGGGAGCGAAAGGGAUUAGAUACCCUA
rnacentral:rRNA from 1 species